rnacentral:lncRNA from 1 species
UACGACGAAGAACAGCAUACUUCGUGGGAUACAUUUUUAUUCCAAUAGUCACGAAAUAAUAUGCAAUGUGACGGCGACAAGAGAUUUAUUGGCAAACAGCGUCGUGGACAUUCUAUAUUUGAAUACGCGGUGAAGGACAAGGGUGACCAUUAAAACCGUCAUUCGAAUAACUUGGCAUCACCAGUCCGCAGAUUCCAAUAUACGAAAUGAUUAUUGGACAGUUGAAAAAUUCCCCAUCUGGUAACUGGAAUUAGUGAGGCUCUUAUUGUUGGAUAUACUCUGGGAUCGUCUCCACCCGAUACUUGACUUUUCACCCAGCUUUAACCGAACUGGAUAAAGCCGGUUUCUCGGGACUCAGGAUACAUUUUCUGCAUACAUACGCAUACGCGCAUUUUGGAAAAUGUUUAAAAAAAUCAUUGUGAGAGUAACGAAACGUGCUGCCACGGUCAAUAAAAAAAUUUUCGAAGCUAUGUGACCACAAUGACAAAUAAAAUAAGCACUCCGCUUUACGAUCGUGUAUGAAAAGGAGAUACGCACUUUGACUUUUUUUUGCAAAACCGAGAUCGUCGCAUCAACGUAGCUUAUCAAUUAAUAUAGUUGGUAUCUAACCCGCAUAGCGUACAGAAAUCCGUGAU